GCAGCUCCUCAUGUCAUGUAAUGAGAACAGAGCCGGAGCUGCUUCCACUCAGAGGAAUUCAAUGAACUCAGCAGUCCUGGCUUAUUGCGCUCGACGCCGCUGCGUUUCCAGGACAUUUAACAGCAUUAAGGGGCACAAUCAUAACUUAUUAAAGAUAGAUUUUCCCGUCUGUUUGUUCCUCUCCAGUGUCGAGAGGAGGACUAACCGACCUACCUUCAUCCCUACUGCUGUCUGCAGGACGCACCGGGAAGAUUUCCGCUGAAGUUGUUUGUGAACAUUCAGUCCUGGAAGUUGCGCGCCUGGAUCGCUCCCUCCGUCAACCCCCUGCUUGAAGACAUUAUGCUUUUGACGCCAGUUGACACAAAAACUUGCGCGAUGGUGAGCUUAGCCGGCGCUUUCUACGUGCGUGGAAAAUGAUUGCAACCAGCAGCGAGUUUUCCAUUAUGGUGAGGAGAUGUCUUCUCACAUGCAAACCAUUCAGAAUCUUUGUGGUGGGGAUCGGUUUCUUCAGCCUCUGCUUUCUAAUGACCUCUCUGGGGGGCCAGUUCUCGGCCAAACGACCCGGAGAUUCCCCCUUCACCAUGCGAGCCGAAGUACUUGGUGGCCAGGAGUCUCGUGGGGUGCUGAGAAAAAUCAGCGACAUGCUGGAGGUGAUCAUGAAAAGGAUGGACGCUCUGUCUAAACUGGGAAACACCAGCGACUCACACCGGCUAGAUGAACUCAGCUCAGCCCUGGACAGGAUUCAGCCCAUCGGCCUGGUGGAGCGGAUCCAGGCCAUAGCCCAGAACAUGUCAGACAUGGCAGUGAGGGUGGAGCAGAUCCUGCAGCGCAGCAUGGCUGGCAACAAAGUUCGGGAAGGAGCCCUUGGACAGUGUGAGAUUCCUAAAGAUCCCCGCUAUCCAGACUGUCCCAGCAAGAUGGAUUGGAUGCGAGCUCGUUGGACAUCAGACCCUUGCUAUGCAUAUUAUGGUGUCGACGGGUCCGACUGUUCUUUCCUUGUCUACCUGAGCGAAGUGGAGUGGUUCUGCCCCCCGUUACCCUGGAGGAACCAGACUGCAACACCCACCUUGAAACCUCCCCCCAAGAAGCAGGCUGUCUUCCAGUCUGACAUUGGGACUCUGCUGGAACAAGUGGGCACUGGGAAGGAAUCUCUGAGCUUCAUGAAGAGACGCAUUCGCAGGCUAGCAGCACAGUGGGCUUCUGCCGCUCGACGCCUGGAUGACAAGCUCCGCAACCACUGGAGAGAGGAAAAAAGGAUUCUUGUCCAUGUUGGCUUUCUGACAGAGGAGUCUGGGGAUGUCUUCAGUCCUAAGGUGCUGAAGGGUGGCCCUCUGGGUGAGAUGGUGCAAUGGGCCGACAUCCUCACCGCCCUCCAUGUGCUUGGACACAACCUCAAGAUCUCGGUUUCUCUCAAAGAGCUGCACGGGUCUCUGGGUGUCCCUCCAGGAAGAGGAAGUUGCCCUCUGACCGGACCUCUGCCCUUCGACCUCAUCUACACCGACUACCACGGCCUGCAGCAGAUGAAGCAGCACAUGGGUCUCUCUCUGAGAAAGCACAAGUGCCACAUCCGAGUGAUUGACACCUUCGGCACCGAGCCUGCUUACAACCACGAGGAAUACGCCACUCUGCAUGGCUACAGAACAAACUGGGGCUACUGGAACCUUCAUGGGCAGCAGUAUAUGACCAUGUUCCCCCACACUCCAGACAACUCUUUCAUGGGUUUUGUGGCGGAGGAGCUGAAUGAGACAGAGAGGCUGAAUAUCCAGAAAAACAAGGUUAACAAUAUGGCUCUUGUGUACGGAAAAGAGGCCAGCAUGUGGAAGCUUCAAGGUAAGGAAAAGUUUCUGGCGAUUCUGCAUCGCUACAUGGAGAUCCACGGGACAGUGUACUAUGAAACUCAGCGUCCUCCAGAGGUCCCCACCUUUGUCAAGAACCAUGGCCUGCUGCCUCAGCACGAGCUACAGCAGCUGCUCAGAAAGGCCAAGCUUUUCAUUGGAUUUGGCUUCCCGUACGAAGGUCCUGCCCCCCUGGAGGCAAUAGCUAAUGGCUGCAUCUUUCUGCAACCCAAAUUUAAUCCCCCUCACAGCUCUCUCAACCAUGAGUUCUUUAGAGGGAAGCCCACCUCCAGGAAGGUGUCCUCUCAGCACCCCUAUGCAGAGCAGUAUAUUGGCAGGCCACAUGUCAUCACUAUCGACUUCAAUAACUCUGAAGAGUUUGAUGCAACCAUCCGUGAAAUCAUGAGGAUCAAUGUGAAGCCGUUCCUGCCCUACGAGUACACCUGUGAGGGAAUGCUUGAAAGGGUUCAUGCCUAUAUUCAAAACCAGGAUUUUUGCUCCCCUGAAGCUCCGUUUCCUCCAGUAAACUCGUCUCGGGUUUGGCCAGGCAGUCCUCCCAGUCCUUUCAUCCUGCUGCCUAAUUCCAGGAUCCUGACCUGGGCCUCCAACGCCAGUUCCUUUUCAUUCUGGCCUCCGCUCAGCGCACUUCGGCUUCUGGCUUCACUGGAGGGUCAGUCGUGUGUGAAGGCGUGCCAGAGUGCAGGACUAAUUUGUGAACCCGCCUUGUACCGUUUCAUCAACAUUAAGGAGGCCUUUAGCGCACUGGAAUUCCAGUGUGAAGGAGUGGAGUCAGAGAUGAACCACCUCUUCCCUGCCUUCUCAGCAGAACAUGCUGAAUGUGGCCUGCAGCAGGACCCGCUGCUCUUCAGCUGUGCCGGCUCCAGCCCCAGAUACCAGCGCCUUUGCCCCUGCAGGGACUAUCGCAAAGGCCAGGUGGCGCUGUGCAGAGACUGCCUAUGACCACAGGAGGAGCUAGUGAACAGCGGCUCCUUUUGUAAGACUUGGAAAGAUCCCAGGAGGCUCUCUUUGCUGAGAAGACUUUGUGGUAACAAAAACUGUAAUGCAUAAGCAGUGACUGUACUCGCUUACCUCUGGCCCAGGACCAGCUGCCAAUGUAGAUCUGGCAGAAGGACGGUAACACAAAGAGGCAAUCUCAUUCUGAGAAGACGUUGCAAGACAUCUACUUUAUUUGUCUGACUCUGGAUGCUAUAACCUCAUAUUAGCCUCCUCUGACCUUUUAGAAUACAUUGUCGCUGAGAACAGGAUUGUGUUUAUUGUCCUCCAUCCCUUACAGUGGAAUUUAAUUUAGAAAUUUCUUCCUGGCCACAAUGACUAGGAUGAAGAGUGACCAAAAACCUUUUUUGCUGCAUGUAUUUACAGGUGAUAUUGCAUUAAGAUAAGAAAUGAGAAAACUCGGGAAACCUGAGGGAAAUUGCAGCCGUAUUGAAACUAUUGAAUUUAGUCCUUUACAUUUAGUAGCAUAAAUUAUAAUAGAACUAAUUUCUCAUCUCAGAGCAUGAUGUCAGAUUAGAAAAAGCACAGUGAAGACAGCGAGUCGUUUGUGUCUUUCCAACUAAAUUCCUCAAAACUUUUGCCAGCUUGAGGGGGAGAAACAGAUAUAUUAUGGGAUACUGUUGGAAGUUAUUGUUUUAAAGCUUCAAAAAAUCCACACUUUUACUCCCCAAAGUUUAAGUCUGUCUAUUUUUAGCAUUUAUCAUAAUAAUAAUAAUAAUAAUAAUAAUAAUAAUAAUAUAUCUUAUUUAUAGGCGGCUUUCAAAACACCCAGGGACACUGUACAAAGGAAACAAAGUUAAGACGCGUUCACAUUAACAAUAUAAAACUGAGAUGUUGAAAUUUAAAAGAAGGAAAUUUUGCAAUUGUAAAAAACAGAAGAAAAAAGAUGAAUGGCAGUCAAUGUGAGUAUGCUUGUUUGAACAGGUGGGUUUUGAGAUGAAAAUUUGAAAAUGUCCAGUGGGUCAGUUUUUCUGAUGUUGAGUGGGAGAGAGUUCUAGAGCCAGGGGACAUGGUGGUCAUACAGGCAGGAGGGAUGGUAAGGUUGAGGGAGGAAGAUGAUCUGGGAGUCCAGCUGGGUGUGUUUAUGUGUAAAUAGUUCAGUGAGGUACGUAGGGGUGAGGUUAUGGAGGGCCUUGAAAGUUAGCAGCAUGGUUUUAUAAAUAAUGUGGUGUGUGAUUGGGAGCCAGUGAAAUUGGUGAAGAACAGCAUACAGCAUACUGAACUAGUUGGAGUUUAUGGAGGGACUUGAGGGGGAGACCAUAGAGAAGGGAGUUGCAACAAUCCAGGUGGGAGAUGACCGGAGAGUGGAGCAGAAUGGCGGUGCUGGCAGGGAUGAGGGAGGAACGGAGGCGAUUGAUGUUACAAAGAUAGAAGUAUGCAGACCGAAUGAUGUUACAGAUGUGGGUUUGAAAUGAUUGAGUGCCAUCGAGGACGACACUCAGACUCUUGACCUGCGGGGAAGGGCAGAAAGAGGCGUUGUCGAUGGGAAUGGUGAAACUGUUAGCUUUUGUGGGAGUGGAUUUAGAGCCAAUGAGGAGAACCUCAGUUUAUCACUGUUGAGUUUGAGAAAGUUAGAAGAAAACCAGGAUUUGAUUUGAAUCUGAAUGAACUGAGCAUGCAGUAUAUAAAGCAUAUGCUUUUAGUACACAUUUAUAAUCUACUAUAAUGUUACUUAUGCUUAUCAUUUCUGCAAUUUACUCAUGUAUUCAUCCACAAUCAGAAGUCCUCCCCACAUCUUAGAGAAUGAACAGAUAGAUUGUGUUUAUAGAAUUAAUUAUUUAGGGUGGGAAUCCCAGACUUAUGCACAAUAUGAUACUAUCAUGAUGUAUUGCCCAUGAUAAUGAUAAUAUGUCUGUAAUAUUCUUUGUCAGACCCAACACAAUAUCUGUGUAAAUGAAGGAGAAGUAAAUGCAGUUUUGUGUCAA